UUGUGCACAUGCGUACGUCACGCGCGUACGCACGUGUGCGGAAGUGCAGCAUACAUACUCGUUCUUAUAGGCCUUCCGCCAAACGUAAGUGCCUUAUUGAAGUAACUGAAUUUUUUAAAGUAAGUUACGUCAGAAAAUUCGUAAACUACGGCUCACACAGAAGUUGCAUAUAUGAUUGCUUUGGAUUGUAAUUCGGAUAUAUGAGAAAACAUAAUUCUGUUACGGGGAAACUCCAAGACAAAGCUCUUUUUCAGCUGCAGCUUGAGGUCUGCCUGAGCGCCCACAGCCGCUAGGUGGCGAUGUUGUUUUUGAGUAGGCACGAGGCGACGAAAAAUCGAAAGCAAAAAGAGGCUAAGAGCUUCGCUAUAAAAUUACUCACUUUCAUCUUGUGCAUCUCAAGAAAAAAAAAAGAAAGAGCGGCGGCUUCUCCGUGUGCUUACCUCCGGACUGGAAGGGAACAUCUUAUUCGUGCGGAGGCUACUUUGCGCCUCUAGGAUGAGCUCUGAAAGACCUUGUUGAGGGGUUUUGCUGCUUAAUGUACUGAGGAAGCGCAACUGAUGGUUAGUUACCAAAUCGCGAAGUUUACUAAUGAGUGAAACAGAAUGCUUGAAGGGCAGCAUUUAGUUUCUACGAAGCUAUAAAGUGAGAAACAGAUGAAAAUAUUUAUAGUGCACGUGUUUAGCAUGCAGGAUUGGUUUUGGCGACUUUCCCGGCGAACGCAAAAUCGCUAAUGGCACCUGGCCUUGAAAAAAUACUUCAUUCACGACGCACUUUAUAAUCUGUAUAUAAACUCGAGUGGGCGUCACAGAUCGGUUUGUUUUCGCGGACGACGACAUCGUUAGGCGAAACAUGAUUGGCACCAAGAAGAUUCUUGUUGGACUUCUCGUCCUGGCAAUGGUCCUUGCGAUCGCCAUGGCACAGUUCGCGAAUGUUGGCGAACGUCGGCUUGGUGGUGAACGUGGUUUGGGCCAAUACCGAGACUACCGCGGCUCACGUGGACGUGGCGACGACCGUAGAUCCCACGACGGACGUGAUCGUGACCAUAGAUUCGGCCGCGACCGUGGCUCUGGACGUGACCGUGGCCGAGAACGUGGCAGGGGCGGUGGAUGAGACUUCGACAGAUUUUGAUUAUUGCUUCCUCUGCUCGACCCGACGUUUCUGCACAGAAAACGGAGGGAUGUGUAAUAUGUUUUAAAUGAACAAAAGCUGAAAUGCACGGCAUGCUCCACCAUGUUAUAACAGGCGGCGUAAUUGUGAUACUCCCGAGCAAAGUGCCCGUUAACGAAAAUUUCAAGAGGCAAAUUUUCCACCAGGAAGGACCAAUAGCUCGGGUCAUAGAACCUGCCUCGAACUCCUGAAAAGAAAUAUGAUUAUCAUGAACAGAACCCUUCGAAAUAAUUAUGCAUAGACGUGAUAAACUGUACUCUGUCCUAACGGAACUGCGAUUCUUAGUAAAGAAAGAGUCGCGCACCUUUCAAGAAUAGAGCUUGCAAAGUGUGUUUCAAAUAAACAUGAUUAUCUCUGACUGAAA